rnacentral:rRNA from 1 species
UACGUAGGGUGCGAGCGUUGUCCGGAAUUAUUGGGCGUAAAGAGCUUGUAGGCGGUUUGUCGCGUCUGCCGUGAAAGUCCGGGGCUCAACUCCGGAUCUGCAGUGGGUACGGGCAGACUAGAGUGUGGUAGGGGAGACUGGAAUUCCUGGUGUAGCGGUGAAGUGCGCAGAUAUCUGGAGGAAUACCGGUGGCGAAGGCGGCAUCCUGGACCGGCAUUGACGCUGAGGAGCGAAAGCUAGGGGAGCAAACGGG